ACGAACGCUGGCGGCGUGCCUAAUACAUGCAAGUUGAGCGCUGAAGGUUGGUACUUGUACCAACUGGAUGAGCAGCGAACGGGUGAGUAACGCGUGGGGAAUCUGCCUUUGAGCGGGGGACAACAUUUGGAAACGAAUGCUAAUACCGCAUAAAAACUUUAAACACAAGUUUUAAGUUUGAAAGAUGCAAUUGCAUCACUCAAAGAUGAUCCCGCGUUGUAUUAGCUAGUUGGUGAGGUAAAGGCUCACCAAGGCGAUGAUACAUAGCCGACCUGAGAGGGUGAUCGGCCACAUUGGGACUGAGACACGGCCCAAACUCCUACGGGAGGCAGCAGUAGGGAAUCUUCGACAAUGGACGAAAGUCUGACCGAGCAACGCCGCGUGAGUGAAGAAGGUUUUCGGAUCGUAAAACUCUGUUGGUAGAGAAGAACGUUGGUGAGAGUGGAAAGCUCAUCAAGUGACGGUAACUACCCAGAAAGGGACGGCUAACUACGUG
rnacentral:rRNA from 1 species